rnacentral:rRNA from 1 species
GGGUUGUGAGGUUAAGCGACUAAGCGUACACGGUGGAUGCCCUGGCAGUCAGAGGCGAUGAAGGACGUGCUAAUCUGCGAUAAGCGCCGGUAAGGUGAUAUGAACCGUUAUAACCGGCGAUUUCCGAAUGGGGAAACCCAGUGUGACUCGUCACACUAUCAUUAACUGAAUCCAUAGGUUAAUGAGGCGAACCGGGGGAACUGAAACAUCUAAGUACCCCGAGGAAAAGAAAUCAACCGAGAUUCCCCCAGUAGCGGCGAGCGAACGGGGAGGAGCCCAGAGCCUGAAUCAGCAUGUGUGUUAGUGGAAGCGUCUGGAAAGGCGCGCGAUACAGGGUGACAGCCCCGUACACAAAAGCGCAUGUGCUGUGAGCUCGAUGAGUAGGGCGGGACACGUGGUAUCCUGUCUGAAUAUGGGGGGACCAUCCUCCAAGGCUAAAUACUCCUGACUGACCGAUAGUGAACCAGUACCGUGAGGGAAAGGCGAAAAGAACCCCGGCGAGGGGAGUGAAAAAGAACCUGAAACCGUGUACGUACAAGCAGUGGGAGCCCCACCACUAAGCCAGUGGUGAACUCCACAUACGCAUCCUUUGCUGAGGAUAAGGUUAACGGAGCGAAAGCGACGUUCAACCGCAAAAGAAGCAGAGGGGGCUUAGUGGUGGGGUGACUGCGUACCUUUUGUAUAAUGGGUCAGCGACUUAUAUUCUGUAGCAAGGUUAACCGUAUAGGGGAGCCGCAGGG